ACCUUUUGCUUGCAAAGGAGCGAUUAGUGGCGGACUGGUGAGUAACGCGUAAGAAAUCUGCCUAUCAGAGGGGAAUAACAGUGAGAAAUCAUUGCUAAUACCGCAUAUGCCAUAGGAGUCGCAUGACUCUAGUGGGAAAGAAGCAAUUCGCUGAUAGAUGAGCUUGCGUCUGAUUAGCUAGUUGGUGGGGUAAAGGCCUACCAAGGCGACGAUCAGUAGCCGGACUGAGAGGUUGAACGGCCACAUUGGGACUGAGAUACGGCCCAGACUCCUACGGGAGGCAGCAGUCGGGAAUAUUGCGCAAUGGAGGAAACUCUGACGCAGUGACGCCGCGUAUAGGAAGAAGGUUUUCGGAUUGUAAACUAUUGUCCACAGGGAAGAAAAAAGACUGUACCUGUGAAGAAAGCUCCGGCUAACUACGUGCCAGCAGCCGCGGUAAUACGUAGGGAGCAAGCGUUAUCCGGAAUUAUUGGGUGUAAAGGGUGCGUAGACGGGAUAACAAGUUGGUUGUGAAACCCCUCGGCUCAACUGAGGAACUGCAACCAAAACUAUUAUUCUUGAGUGCAGGAGAGGAAAGUGGAAUUCCUAGUGUAGCGGUGAAAUGCGUAGAUAUUAGGAAGAACACCGGUGGCGAAGGCGACUUUCUGGACUGUAACUGACGUUGAGGCACGAAAGUGUGGGGAGCAAACAGGAUUAGAUACCCUGGUAGCCCACACUGUA
rnacentral:rRNA from 1 species